rnacentral:rRNA from 1 species
GCUUGCUAGGUUGGUGGCGAGUGGCGAACGGGUGAGUAACGCGUAGGAAUAUGCCUUGAAGUGGGGGACAACUUGGGGAAACUCAAGCUAAUACCGCAUAAUGUCUUAGGACGAAAGCUGGGGACCUUCGGGCCUGGCGCUUUAAGAUUAGCCUGCGUCCGAUUAGCUAGUUGGUAGGGUAAAGGCCUACCAAGGCGACGAUCGGUAGCUGGUCUGAGAGGAUGACCAGCCACACUGGAACUGAGACACGGUCCAGACUCCUACGGGAGGCAGCAGUGGGGAAUAUUGGACAAUGGGGGCAACCCUGAUCCAGCAAUGUCGCGUGUGUGAAGAAGGCCUGAGGGUUGUAAAGCACUUCCAGUGGGGAGGAGGGUUAAUAGGUUAAGAGCUAAUUAACUGGACGUUACCCACAGAAGAAGCACCGGCUAACUCCGUGCCAGCAGCCGCGGUAAUACGGAGGGUGCGAGCGUUAAUCGGAAUUACUGGGCGUAAAGAGUGCGUAGGUGGUUGAUUAAGUUAUCUGUGAAAUCCCUGGGCUUAACCUGGGCAGGUCAGAUGAUACUGGUUAACUCGAGCAUGGGAGAGGGUAGUGGAAUUUCCGGUGUAGCGGUGAAAUGCGUAGAGAUCGGAAGGAACACCAGUGGCGAAGGCGGCUACCUGGCCUAAUACUGACACUGAGGCACGAAAGCGUGGGGAGCAA